rnacentral:rRNA from 1 species
AGAGUUUUGAUCCUGGCUCAGAUUUGAACGCUAGCGGAAUGCCUUACACAUGCAAGUCGAACGGCAGAACGGACUUCGGUCUGGUGGCGAGUGGCGAACGGGUGAGUAAUGUAUCGGAACGUGCCUAGUACGGGGGAUAACUACUCGAAAGAGUAGCUAAUACCGCAUACGCCUCGGGAAAGGGGGGGAUCGCAAGACCUCUCACUAUUAGAGCGGCCGAUAUCGGAUUAGCUAGUUGGUGAGGUAAAGGCUCACCAAGGCGACGAUCCGUAGCUGGUUUGAGAGGACGACCAGCCACACUGGGACUGAGACACGGCCCAGACUCCUACGGGAGGCAGCAGUGGGGAAUUUUGGACAAUGGGGGAAACCCUGAUCCAGCCAUUCCGCGUGUGCGAUGAAGGCCUUCGGGUUGUAAAGCACUUUUGGCAGGAAAGAAAAGUUGUGGGUUAAUACCUCGCAACGAUGACGGUACCUGCAGAAUAAGCACCGGCUAACUACGUG